UGACUGGGGCGGUCGCCUCCUAAAGUGUAACGGAGGCGCUCAAAGGUUCCCUCAGCCUGGUUGGUCAUCAGGUGGCGAGUGUAAGUGCACAAGGGAGCUUGACUGUGAGACCGACGGGUCGAGCAGGUGCGAAAGCAGGAACUAGUGAUCCGGCCAUGGCACGUGGGUGCGUGGUCGCUCAACGGAUAAAAGGUACCCCGGGGAUAACAGGCUGAUCUUGCCCAAGAGUCCAUAUCGACGGCAUGGUUUGGCACCUCGAUGUCGGCUUGUCGCAUCCUGGGGCUGGGGUUGGUCCCAAGGG
rnacentral:rRNA from 11 species